UACGGGGGGGGCAAGCGUUGUUCGGAAUUACUGGGCGUAAAGGGCUCGUAGGCGGCCAACUAAGUCGGACGUGAAAUCCCUCGGCUUAACCGGGGAACUGCAUUCGAUACUGCCGUGCUUGAGGACUGGAGAGGAGACUGGAAUUUACGGUGUAGCAGUGAAAUGCGUAGAGAUCGUAAGGAAGACCAGUGGCGAAGGCGGGUCUCUGGACAGUUCCUGACGCUGAGGCACGAAGGCCAGGGGAGCAAACGGG
rnacentral:rRNA from 1 species